UACGUAGGGUGCAAGCGUUGUCCGGAAUUAUUGGGCGUAAAGGGUGCGUAGGCGGCGCGGUAAGUCGGGUGUGAAAUCUCGGGGCUUAACUCCGAAAACUGCAUUCGAUACUGCCGUGCUUGAGGACUGGAGAGGAGACUGGAAUUUACGGUGUAGCGGUGAAAUGCGUAGAUAUCGUAAGGAAGACCAGUGGCGAAGGCGGGUCUCUGGACAGUUCCUGACGCUGAGGCACGAAGGUCAGGGGAGCAAACGGG
rnacentral:rRNA from 1 species